rnacentral:lncRNA from 1 species
GGGACGCGAACGGGAUUCCGUAAGGGGCCGGCGCAGCCUGAGGCGGGUAGCCUCCGGAAGCGUAUGGCACGGCGGAGGCCGGCGGAGCAGCGCCGUAAGGCUUUUCCUUGUGCGGCUUCUCGGACUGCACCCCGUAGGGCGCCGAAGGUGCGCCGCCGCCGUAGGGAGCGGCAUAUGGCGCGGCGGAGGCCGGCGGAGCAGCGCCGUAAGGCUUUUCCUUGUGCGGCUUCUCGGACUGCGCCCCGUAGGGCGCCGAAGGUGCGCCGCCGCAGUAGGGCGCGGCGUCGUAUGGCUGUUGUCCCGGCGCGGCAGCGUAGGGCUGCGACGGUGGGCCGGCGGAGGCCGGCGGAGCAGCGCCGUAAGGCUUUUCCUUGUGCGGCUUCUCGGACUGCGCCCCGUAGGGCGCCGAAGGUGCGCCGCCGCCGUAGGGCGCGGCGUCGUACGGCUGUUGUCCUGGCACGGCAGAGUAGGGCUGUUGGCCGGC